UACGAAGGGGGCUAGCGUUGCUCGGAAUCACUGGGCGUAAAGCGCACGUAGGCGGGUCUUUAAGUCAGGGGUGAAAUCCUGGAGCUCAACUCCAGAACUGCCUUUGAUACUGAGGAUCUCGAGUCCGGGAGAGGUGAGUGGAACUCCGAGUGUAGAGGUGAAAUUCGUAGAUAUUCGGAAGAACACCAGUGGCGAAGGCGGACUCACUGGCCCGGUACUGACGCUGACGGUGCGGAAAGCGUGGGGAGCAAACAGGGAUU
rnacentral:rRNA from 1 species